UAGAUGACUAUGAAAGUACUGAAAGAUUAUGAGAAAACAUCUAGUCAGUUGGUUAAUAGAGAAAAAAAUGCAUUUUAUAUGCACAGAAACACUUCUUCAGAAUUGAGACAGGUUGUGUCUAGUAUAACAGGUUUUAAAAGUGGUUCAUUCCCAUUCAAAUAUAUAGGGUGUCCCAUUUUUCAUACUAAGAAGAAGAAAGUCUUCUAUAAUGAGUUAAUAAAGAAGAUUAAGGACUGGCUGCACAUUGGAAAGAAAAGUAACUAUCUUUUGGGGGUAAAGCUAUGUUAUUCAAUAAUGUUCUUUAGAGUAUGCCCCUAUAUUUAUUAUCAGCUAUGGCCCCAACAAAAUUCACCAUUAAUGAAAUUCACAGAGUUUUUGCAAGUUUUUUUUGGAGCAACAAAGAGGAAGAAAGAAGCAGACAUUGGUCUAAAUGGUUGAAUAUUUGCUUGCCUAAGGAAAAAGUAGGGUUAGGGUUCAGAUCUCUGUUUGAUGUUUCAAAAGCCCUAUCUGCUAAACUUUGUGGAAGUUUAGAGUUACAAUUACAUUGUGGUCCACUUUUAUGUGGAACAAAUAUUGCAAAAAAAUAAACCCAACUCAGGUUGUAUAGAAAGGAGGUUCACAGAUUUGGAAGUUGAUGUUGGAAGCAAGAGACUUUAGUGAAAAAUAUAUUUGAUGGGAAACAAGGUGUGGUAAUACAAGUUUUUGGCAUGACAAUUGGACUAGAUUAGGAUCACUGACAAGUAUUUUACAUCCUAAAUCAGAAACUUCCUUCAUAGGUGAUUAACCAUAUUAGCAAUUUAUUGCCUUUGAAUAGCAACACUACUAGUAGUAACAAACCUUGGUGGACGUUGUCUAAAAGUGGUGAAUUUACUGUCAGAACAGCUUGGGAAAAGAUCAACAACAGAAAAGAUAAAUCUUGGUUUUUGACUAAAGUGUGGAGAAAGAGAUUGCCUUUUAAAAUUGCCUUUUGCCCUUUGGAGGAUUUGAAGAGAAAAGAUUCAUGUUGAUGAUAUCGUUGGUUUCAAGAUGUAGAUGUUCUGUCAACCCACAACUUGAAACAAUAGAGCAUUUAUUUCUCACAGGAGAGAUUGUCUCUAAUAUCUGGGCAAGAUAUGCCUUGGCUGCAGGUAUUCAAGGCCAUUUGUGUAGAUUAAACAAACAAUUGUUAAAUGGUGGAAAGUAAAAUGUCCAUAUACAUUACUAAGUAGCAACAUUGAAGCUACAGUGUUGGAAUGUUGGUCUCCUCAAGGUUGGAACCUCACAUUCAGAAGACAUCUCAAUGAUUGGGAAGUGGACAGGAUGACAAACAUGUUGAAUGUGCUAGAAGUCUUCACGGGCACAACUACUAAUCCAGAUUCUCUAAGGUGGAAACACACAGAAGAUGGCAUUCUCACAGUGAAUAGACUCUACAAGAAGGAAAACAACGCAGUACAGGGUGAAGUAUCAAAGCUCUGGAAACCUAUGGAAGAUUCAGGUUCCUACUAGAGUGAAAUGUUUCACUUGGCUAGUGGUCAGAAGGGCAUGUCUCACUCAAGAAGUUCUCCAGAAGAAGGGAAGGACACUAGUUCCUAGAUGUUUUUAUGCAAUGAAACUGGGGAAACAAAUAACCACUUAUUUCUACACUGCAAAUUUACUGCUCAACUUUGGCAUUUGUUCUUCACCCUCACUAAAUUGGAAUGGACAAUGCCUGAGCACACAACUGAUUUGUUAAGUUGUUGGAUCAGAAGAGGUGGUAGCAAGAGUCAAAAGAAGUGGUGGAGGAUGAUACCCUCCUGCAUUUGGUGGUCAGUAUGGACGGAAAGAAAUGGGAGAUGCUUCGAAGACAAAGUCAGGUCCAUUAAUGAUGUAAAAUGGAAUUGUCUUGUCACGCUAUUUUUUUGGUUCAAGGAGAAUUGUAUAGAGGACGUAGACGAAUUUGUAGAUUUCUUAGGAGCAUUGUAACUCUAGACUCUAAGUUCUUUUUGUAACUAUUUUUGGAGGUGUCCGGCAUCCUUUACUGCUGAGGAAUAUAACAGUACCAUUUUUCAAAAAAAAAUGUCCAUAUACAUUAAAACCCUUAAUCAGGGUGGCUCCUGCUUUUAUAGUGUGGCAAAUUCGAAAAUGGAGAAACAGUAAGAUUCAUGGAGGUAAUAUGUCCAUAAAUAGAGUUUCCUAUGAUAUUGAUUUGAAUCUACAUCAAUAAUCUGUGAUGGUUUACCCGUGGAUAUCAGAAAUACCAAUGACAUGGGUGUUGAUGGUGCAGUUUUUUGAAGGAUUUAAAUCUUAGGUUUCGUGUCAGGCUGAAAAGUCGCAUUUCCCUCCUAGAGGUUACUAUAAGUACAAUACUGAUGGCUCCUCUAAAGGGAAUCCAGGACCUGCAUCAUGCGCCUUUUGCAUAAGAAAUGAUUCAGGGGAUUUCAUGUUUGCUAGUGCUAAUAAGAUCCACAACUCAAUAAGUAUCUAUGCUGAACCUAAAGCAACUGAACAAGGCAUCGAUUUUUGUAUAGAACAUAAUUUACUGUCUUUAGUGGUGAAAACUGAUUCACUAGCUAUGAAAAGCUUCAUUGAAGAUGGAUGGAAGAUCCCAUGGAACAUUAGUAUGGAAGUUAGGAGGAUACAAGGAUGGAAGGAAAAGGAAGAGAUCAUUUUUCAACACAACAUGAGAGAAGGGAAUCAAGUGGCGGAUUUUCUAGCUAACUUUCUUUUCUUUUUUGUAGGAUCUUUAAGUUACAAUUAAUUAGCAAAAUUACCUACUGGAGGAAGGAAACUACUAAAUAUAGACAAACAAAUCAUUCCAAGGCUUCGUUUUCAGAAGGUCAAAAAUACUAGGCACAAAAUACAAUUUAAUCAAAGCAUGUAAGAAGGAAUAAACAGUCAGCAAUUUUAGCAAUUGGGCUACAACAGAAACAUUACAGUACUGCAAGGGCAACAGAAAUGGAACAAAGUAGAAUUAAAAUAGCUUGUUUGACUUAGCUUCUUAUUUUUCUGAAGUUAAACAGCGAUAUUAACCUCUUAAUGAAGUUCAACUUGCUUGAAAGAUGAAGGAAAAGCUUAGUAAAAUAGAGUGACAUGAAAAAUUCAUCGGAGAUAGUGAAGAGGGUACAGAUCUAAUUAAAAACCUUACCUUGAGUUUUGAAUUGACUCUAUAAAUCCACAUCUUGAAGAAAUCUUCAUUUGGAUUGGUUACCAUGACAUACGGUGAGAGCUUAUGGGAUGCAUUUAGAUGGAACCUACCCAGAAGAUAUGGAAAUUACUAGUCAAAUACAAAGCAAGGAAAUGGUUGCAAAUUUCAGUUACUUCACAUCUUCACAAAGCUAUUGGUUUACUGAAUCAGAGAUUUACCUGGAAGUGACGGUCGACGAUGGAGAUCGGCAUCUAUGGAAGCUUUAACUCAGCUGAACCAAUCUUUCCUUUUCUGUCCAUUAGGUUUCCUUUGACUUUACUUUACUUUUCUUUCUUUUUUUUGUCUUAGUUUUAGUUUAUUUGGAAUGGAUCGAGUCUACUUUGGACUUUGCAUUUUGCUUAAUUUUGUACAGAUCUAUUUUAAUUAAAUGAGGCUCACGGGUCUCACCAAAAAGUUGAAUAAAAG
rnacentral:lncRNA from 1 species